rnacentral:rRNA from 1 species
UACGUAGGUGGCAAGCGUUGUCCGGAAUUAUUGGGCGUAAAGCGCGCGCAGGCGGUCCUUUAAGUCUGAUGUGAAAGCCCACGGCUCAACUGUGGAGGGUCAUUGGAAACUGGGGGACUUGAGUGCAGAAGAGGAAAGCGGAAUUCCACGUGUAGCGGUGAAAUGCGUAGAGAUGUGGAGGAACACCAGUGGCGAAGGCGGCUUUCUGGUCUGUAACUGACGCUGAGGCGCGAAAGCGUGGGGAGCAAACAGG